CAGUCGCCACGGUAAUACGUAGGGUGCGAGCGUUAAUCGGAAUUACUGGGCGUAAAGCGUGCGCAGGCGGUUGUGUAAGACAGGUGUGAAAUCCCCGGGCUUAACCUGGGAACUGCCCUUGUGACUGCACAGCUAGAGUAUGGCAGAGGGGGGUGGAAUUCCACGUGUAGCAGUGAAAUGCGUAGAGAUGUGGAGGAACACCGAUGGCGAAGGCAGCCCCCUGGGCCAAUACUGACGCUCAUGCACGAAAGCGUGGGGAGCAAACAGGAUUAGAUACCCCUGUAGUCCCUGUCUCUUAUAC
rnacentral:rRNA from 1 species